UGGGGAAUAUUGCGCAAUGGGGGGAACCCUGACGCAGCCAUGCCGCGUGAAUGAAGAAGGCCUUAGGGUUGUAAAGUUCUUUCGGUAUUGAGGAAGGUUGAUGUGUUAAUAGCACAUCAAAUUGACGUUAAAUACAGAAGAAGCACCGGCUAACUCCGUGCCAGCAGCCGCGGUAAUACGGAGGGUGCGAGCGUUAAUCGGAAUAACUGGGCGUAAGGGCACGCAGGCGGUUAUUUAAGUGAGGUGUGAAAGCCCCGGGCUUAACCUGGGAAUUGCAUUUCAGACUGGGUAACUAGAGUACUUUAGGGAGGGGUAGAAUUCCACGUGUAGCGGUGAAAUGCGUAGAGAUGUGGAGGAAUACCGAAGGCGAAGGCAGCCCCUUGGGAAUGUACUGACGCUCAUGUGCGAAAGCGUGGGGAGCAAACAGGAUUAGAUAUCCUGGUAGUCCACGCUGUAAACGCUGUCGAUUUGGGGGUUGGGGUUUAACUCUGGCGCCCGUAGCUAACGUGAUAAAUCGACCGCCUGGGGAGUACGGCCGCAAGGUUA
rnacentral:rRNA from 1 species